CCUACGGGAGGCUGCAGUCGAGAAUCAUUCACAAUGGGGGAAACCCUGAUGGUGCGACGCCGCGUGGGGGAAUGAAGGUCUUCGGAUUGUAAACCCCUGUCAUGUGGGAGCAAAUUAAAAAGAUAGUACCACAAGAGGAAGAGACGGCUAACCCUGUGCCAGCAGCCGCGGUAAUACAGAGGUCUCAAGCGUUGUUCGGAAUCACUGGGCGUAAAGCGUGCGUAGGCUGUUUCGUAAGUCGUGUGUGAAAGGGGCGGGCUCAACCCGCGGACGGCACAUGAUACUGCGAGACUAGAGUAAUGGAGGGGGAACCGGAAUUCUCGGUGUAGCAGUGAAAUGCGUAGAUAUCGAGAGGAACACUCGUGGCGAAGGCGGGUUCCUGGACAUUAACUGACGCUGAGGCACGAAGGCCAGGGGAGCGAAAGGGAUUAGAUACCCGGGUAGUC
rnacentral:rRNA from 1 species